AAAAAGGGCUGGGCGGCUAAAUAUGCCACGCUCGCCCUUGGAUGGUGUGUGCUAUAUGGCUAUUAAGACAUAUGGCCGACAUAAUAUUUUGAGUCCCA